GGAAAAAUGGCUGUGAAUUUUCGUCUGUCUUUGAGAAUUACUUGGAUUUGUUGCCUGCUGAUUGUAGGGAUAACCUGUUAUCCUCCACCUAAAGGUGACUAUAGAUAUCUUCCCCAAAUUGCAACAAAGGGAACC